rnacentral:tRNA from 1 species
ACCUAAAUGACUGAGUUAAAGUAUUAGAUUUUUAAUCUAAAUAUGGCAUUUUAUCUCAAUGCACCUACUGGUU